GCUCCGGUGGCUUAGUUAGAGCGUCCGCCUCGGAGGCGGGAGGUCUUGGGUUCGAUCCCCGGUCGAAUCU